GGCCGGCUAGCUCAGUUGGUUAGAGCGUGGUGCUAAUAAGGAAUUCCCAUUCUUCACGCCAAGGUCUUGGGUUCGACCCCCAAGUUGGCCA